rnacentral:rRNA from 1 species
CGAUGAUCCCAGCUUGCUGGGGGAUUAGUGGCGAACGGGUGAGUAACACGUGAGUAACCUGCCCUUGACUCUGGGAUAAGCCUGGGAAACUGGGUCUAAUACCGGAUAUGACCGUCUGACGCAUGUCAGGUGGUGGAAAGCUUUUGUGGUUUUGGAUGGACUCGCGGCCUAUCAGCUUGUUGGUGGGGUAAUGGCCUACCAAGGCGACGACGGGUAGCCGGCCUGAGAGGGUGACCGGCCACACUGGGACUGAGACACGGCCCAGACUCCUACGGGAGGCAGCAGUGGGGAAUAUUGCACAAUGGGCGCAAGCCUGAUGCAGCGACGCCGCGUGAGGGAUGACGGCCUUCGGGUUGUAAACCUCUUUCAGUAGGGAAGAAGCGAAAGUGACGGUACCUGCAGAAGAAGCGCCGGCUAACUACGUGCCAGCAGCCGCGGUAAUACGUAGGGCGCAAGCGUUAUCCGGAAUUAUUGGGCGUAAAGAGCUCGUAGGCGGUUUGUCGCGUCUGCUGUGAAAGACCGGGGCUCAACUCCGGUUCUGCAGUGGGUACGGGCAGACUAGAGUGCAGUAGGGGAGACUGGAAUUCCUGGUGUAGCGGUGAAAUGCGCAGAUAUCAGGAGGAACACCGAUGGCGAAGGCAGGUCUCUGGGCUGUAACUGACGCUGAGGAGCGAAAGCAUGGGGAGCGAACAGGAUUAGAUACCCUGGUAGUCCAUGCCGUAAACGUUGGGCACUAGGUGUGGGGGACAUUCCACGUUUUCCGCGCCGUAGCUAACGCAUUAAGUGCCCCGCCUGGGGAGUACGGCCGCAAGGCUAAAACUCAAAGGAAUUGACGGGGGCCCGCACAAGCGGCGGAGCAUGCGGAUUAAUUCGAUGCAACGCGAAGAACCUUACCAAGGCUUGACAUGAACCGGAAAGACCUGGAAACAGGUGCCCCGCUUGCGGUCGGUUUACAGGUGGUGCAUGGUUGUCGUCAGCUCGUGUCGUGAGAUGUUGGGUUAAGUCCCGCAACGAGCGCAACCCUCGUU